AUUGAACGCUAGCGGCAGGCUUUACACAUGCAAGUCGAGCGGAGCGGCGGACGGGUGAGGAAUGCCUAGAAAUCUGCCUGGUCGUGGGGGCUAACGUCCGGUAACGGGAACUAUUACCGAAUCCUAUCAGUUGUGCCUAGGUCGGAUUAGCUAGUUGGUGGGGUAAAGGCCUACGAAGGCGACGAUCCGUAACUGGUCUGAGAGGAUGAUCAGACACACUGGAAAUGAGACACGGUCCAGACUCCUACGGGAGGCAGCAGUGGGGAAUAUUGGACAAUGGGGGAAAGCCUGAUCCAGCCAUGCCGCGUGUAUGAAGAAGGCCUUCGGAUUGUAAAGUACUUUAAGUAGGGAGGCGUUACCAGCAGAAUAAGCACCGGCUAACUCCGUGCCAGCAGCCGCGGUAAUUC
rnacentral:rRNA from 1 species